GAUGAACGCUGGCGGCGUGCCUAAUACAUGCAAGUCGAGCGAACAGAUGAGGAGCUUGCUCCUCUGACGUAGCGGCGGACGGGUGAGUAACACGUGGUUAACCUACCUAUAAGACUGGGAUAACUUCGGGAAACCGGAGCUAAUACCGGAUAAUAUAUUGAACCGCAUGGUUCAAUAGUGAAAGACGGUUUUGCUGUCACUUAUAGAUGGAUCCGCGCCGCAUUAGCUAGUUGGUAAGGUAACGGCUUACCAAGGCAACGAUGCGUAGACGACCUGAGAGGGUGAUCGGCCACACUGGAACUGAGACACGGUCCAGACGCCUACGGGAGGCAGCAGUAGGGAAUCUUCCGCAAUGGGCGAGAGCCUGACGGAGCAACGCCGCGUGAGUGACGAAGGUCUUCGGAUCGGAAAACUCUGUUAUUAGGGAAGAACAAAUGUGUAAGUAACUAUGCACGUCUUGACGGUACCUAAUCAGAAAGCCACGGCUAACUACGUG
rnacentral:rRNA from 1 species